AUGUUUUCCUGGGGUUAAAUAGGGAAUCAGGCCUGCACCCUGAGAAAUUUAAAGAGCUGCAGUAUUAUGACUGUACAAAGGUAGCAAAAUCAUUAGUCUUUUGAUUAUGGACUAGCAUGAAAGGUUAGACGGAGGAAAACUAUUUAUCUUUUAGGCUUUGAAUUUAUCUUUUUUGUGAAAAGACAAAAAUAAUAUUAAUAGACAAGAAGACCCUUUUAAGUUUUAUUUAUUAUUAAUAUCUUUAUUAAUAUAUCAAAAUAAAAUAUUGCUAUAAAUUUUGCUGGGGCGGCAACUAAGAUCUUGAGAUCCAUAAAGAAAUAAAAAUUUUUAAAUUAAAUUUAUGAGCCCUCUAAUAAGGACUAAAAGAACAAACUACUGAAGGGAUAACAGCGUUAUAUUAUUUAAUAGUCCUUAUUGACAAUA
rnacentral:rRNA from 1 species